GUCCCUAUAGCGCAGUGGAUAGCGCGCUGGACUUCUAAUCCAGAGGCCCCGGGUUCGAAUCCCGGUAGGGAUG
rnacentral:tRNA from 1 species